GCCUCGACCAAGGUUCGACUCGAGCGCCAGCGAGAGAGCGUUGCCGCAGGCAACGACCCGAAGGGCGAAGCGCGCAGCGUUGAGUAAUCCUUCCCCCACCACCA
rnacentral:sRNA from 1 species